rnacentral:rRNA from 1 species
CCAGCACCCCGAGUGGUCGGGACGAUUAUUGGGCCUAAAGCAUCCGUAGCCGGUUUUACAAGUCCUCCGUUAAAUCCAACUGCUUAACAGAUGGGCCGCGGAGGAUACUAUAAGACUAGAAGGCAGGAGAGGCAAGCGGUACUCAGUGGGUAGGGGUAAAAUCCGUUGAUCCAUUGAAGACCACCAGUGGCGAAGGCGGCUUGCCAGAAUGCGCUCGACGGUGAGGGAUGAAAGCUGGGGGAGCAAACCGGAUUAGAUACCCGGGUAGUCCCAGCUGUAAACGAUGCAGACUCGGUGAUGGACUAGCUUCAUGCUAGUCCAGUGCCGCAGGGAAGCCGUUAAGUCUGCCGCCUGGGUAGUACGGUCGCAAGACUG